rnacentral:tRNA from 1 species
CGUGGCGCUGGCGCUGCUGGGCGGCGCGUCCGCACUGAUGUUCCGGGACAGGUGGCGCCGUUUCUCCGCGGCGCGCUGCGC